rnacentral:tRNA from 1 species
AGGCUUGUAGCUCAGGUGGUUAGAGCGCACCCCUGAUAAGGGUGAGGUCGGUGGUUCAAGGACACUCACGCCUACCA